GAUGAACGCUGGCGGCGUGCCUAAUACAUGCAAGUAGAACGCUGAAGGAGGAGCUUGCUCUUUUGGACGAGUUGCGAACGGGUGAGUAACGCGUAGGUAACCUGCCUGUUAGCGGGGGAUAACUAUUGGAAACGCUAGCUAAUACCGCAUGACAACAGUUAUUGCAUGAUAACUGUUUAAAAGGGGCAACUGCUCCACUACCAGAUGGUCCUGCGUUGUCUUAGCUAGUUGGUGAGGUAACCGCUCAACAAGACGACAAUACAUAGCCGACCGGCGAGGGGGGUCGGCCAAACUGGGACUGAGACACGGCCCAAGCUUCUAAGGGAGGCAGCAGGAGGGGAUCUUCGGCAAAGGACGGAAGGCUGACCGGGCAACGCCGCGGGAGUGAAGGAGGGUUUCGGAUCGGAAAGCUCCGUUGUAAGAGAAGAACGAGUGUGAGAGUGGAAAGUUCACACUGUGACGGUAUCUAACCAGAAAGGGACGGCUAACUACGUG
rnacentral:rRNA from 1 species